GCCGCCAUCAGGAAACCAGGGAGAUACACCAUGGAUAUGCUGUAAAAAUUCAGUCAACUGUGAGGUAGAAACUUUAUUACCCCGAGCUUUAAGCAUCGAAAGUAAAACCUGAGCAAAUAAUUCACACUCCUUUGAGCCCUUUGGCCCCAUCUUCUUUUACUUCUGACUAUUGCCUUAUGCCUCUAUUAGUUUCACUUUUACUGGUGGCCACACAUAUUUUGCAUAAGGGUUCUCUUACCUGCACUUUCUUUUUCUUUUAAUUGCCUUCACGCUUCAGGUCCCUGUUCGAGUGCCACUUGCCGCGGACCAGCCGGAGAAAGAGGAUCUCAGCGCCCAGGGUCAGAAGGGAAGGGGACAUUUCAUCUUGACAAUCUGCACAUCUGGGAGACUAUCAAGAAAUGCUUUGAGGUCGAUGCCAUUCAGCACAAUCCGAUUGUCAUAAAUGUGCCCAUUGGACUGAAAAUCGAUGACUGCUUUCUUCUUCAGCUGCAUGCAGUGUCUCUCAGCUGCCUCAAAAUCUCCUGUCUGAUAUUCUCGAUGUGCCAACUCAGCUAACCCUUGGAAGGAAAGCAUACGUUUCGUUGGUUCUGUGCUGUCGGCCACGUUGCCCACAGAAGACGCCAU